GACGAAUCCGCGCUCCCCCAGGCUGUCGCGCGAGCUCCCCGGAAGCUCCCACCUGAGCGGCGCAUCCUCAGGGCCUGGGCCUGGCCUCCUUGCCUGUGAGAUGGCACUGUGACGGUGCCCACCUCGUGGGGUGUGUGAGGGCCGAGUGAAAUCGUGCAUUUGCGAUGACCAAGUCGGCCCACUGCACCACCACGAUACUGACGAAGAAGGCUGUGUGGCAGGUGAACUCCACGAUUUUCCUCUGCUCAUAGGUCUGAAAUGCAGAAGACAGAAGAUGAGCUCUGGCUCUUCACCUGCAUGGCUGGUGGCAGUGUGGCCUCAGUCUUCUGGGGCUUGAGGAGCUCUGACACUGGUCAGGUCAGAGGUGCCCACUCACCCACUGCUGCCCGUAGCUGUCUUCCACAUCGUUGAUCCAGCGGUCAUCCCAGUCCACUCGGAGGCCCAACAGGUGAAUUGGGAGGAAGCCGUUCUCAGCCAGAAUCACAAAGUGAAGUAUACAAAAAUAAAGAUUCCCAUCUGAUAAACAAAUGUUAACUGCUGCCUUGAAGAGUGGUAAUACUGAUUCUGUGAAGCCGGGAUUGGGACACACACUGGAUACUGGUCCUGAGAAUUUCUUUUCCCAACGCCAGCCUCAUGGAUGCUGGGAGCAUAGUGCCAGUGAAUGAAGACACAGCUCACACCUCACUACUAUCGAUCUGUGACUGUUGUGACACUCACCAUGUCAGUGCCCAAGUCAAUGCAGAGGAUGGUGACAGUCCCCAGUGGUAGUGGAAUGUUUGCAAUAAUAAAUAUCAGGAACGGGGUGAUCUCGGGAAUGUUACUGGUUAAGGUAUAAGCAAUGGAUUUCUUCAAGUUAUCAAAGAUCAGACGACCU
rnacentral:lncRNA from 1 species